AGUGGACUUGCUGGGUCAUACGAUAAUUUUGUUUGAGAAACUGUCGGGUUGUUUUCCAAGUGGCUAUACCAUUUUACAUUCCCACCAGCAAU
rnacentral:pre_miRNA from 1 species